CUUCGGCCGAACUGGAGCACUCAAAGUGUUGAAUGCUUUAAGACUUUUGAGCUCGCCAUUGUUAUUUGUGCUAGCCGUGUUGUUCAGACCACCAAUUAUCCCUAAUUGCUUUCACUUUAAUAAAUUGCUGAGAUCUACUGUUUUGAGUCCUUCUAGUCGAUUCUUCUUUCAGGAUUGACAUUGGUUUGCCCACCCAUAUUCAAAGAGAUGAAGAUAAUUAAAGGUGUCAUAUGGCUUAUGUGAUCA